CUUGAGGUAGGUGGUUCGAAUCUCUGUUCCCUCCUUUUUUAAAUCUCUCAUAUGGAGGAUUUAUUUACGUGAAGGCUCGGUUCUGUGCCUGUGCUCGUCCGACCCGACGGUCUUUGCGCUCGAGCCUGUGCUCGCUCGGCCCUGCUCGUCCGAGGUUACUUGCGCCUCACAGGCCCUGCUCGUCCAAGGUUCCUUGUGCCUGUGCGACCAGAGGUUCUUUGCGCAUGUGCCCUGCUCGUCCGAGUUUCCUUGCGCUCGUGCCUCUGCUCGUCAGCCCUGCUCGUCCG
rnacentral:lncRNA from 1 species